rnacentral:rRNA from 1 species
CGAUGGGAGGGGAUAACUACUGGAAACGGUAGCUAAUACCGCAUAACGUCGCAAGACCAAAGACGGGGACCUUCGGGCCUCUUGCCAUCGGAUGUGCCCAGAUGGGAUUAGCUAGUAGGUGGGGUAACGGCUCACCUAGGCGACGAUCCCUAGCUGGUCUGAGAGGAUGACCAGCCACACUGGAACUGAGACACGGUCCAG